UGGAUGUAGUUGUGAAAGUCCCUUUGCCACCUGUGUCCUUCGCUUCAAUGACUCUUACUAGUUUUUCAUUACGAAUGUGUCAUGGUGAUUCAUGGCCAAGAUUGUUUAUGUGUAUUUUGAUUCUUUCUUGAUGUCAGUUGUUUGUUCAUUUAAUGAUGAUGGGCCCCAUUGUUAUAUGGAAUAUCAACUGAUAAUCAAAGAUGAUCAACUCUGCACUAAACAAUCUUUAAGUGAUGAUAUAACUGGGGUAUUGAAGUCCCUUUUCCUUUCCUCGAAGUUGUGUUUCUAUAAAAGUGACGAUAUAGACUACUAUUUCCACUCAUUUGUUCUGAUCUUGAAAGAAUAUGGAAAAUAAGCUACAAAAGAAGAUGGAAAAUGUUUGGUUAUAGAGCGGCAUCAACAAUACAAAAGGUGUUGUGAUGUCAAUUAAAGAAAUGUUAACAAUUGCAAAAGAGUCACUUUAACGUUGUAAAAAGAAAGAUGCAACAUGGAUGUAGUUGUGAAAGUCCCUUUGCCACCUGUGUCCGCUUCAAUUACUCUCACUAGUUUUUCAUUACGAAUGUGUCAUGGUGAUUCAUGGCCAAGAUUGUUUAUGUGUAUUUUGAUUCAUUCUUGAUGUCAGUUGUUUGUUCAUAUAAUGAUGAUGGGCCCCAUUGUUAUAUGGAAUAUCAACUGAUAAUCAAAGAUGAUCAACUCUGCACUAAACAAUCUUUAAGUGAUCAUAUAACUGGGGUAUUGAAGUCCCUUUUCCUUUCCUCGAAGUUGUUUCUAUAAAAUAUCUACUUUCAACUUCAUAUCAACUUCAACUUCACUCAUAUCAUGCUAAAAGUAUAUGGAUAUUAGAUAUUGUGUAUGAUUGCUUGUUGUGAAAUUAUUAAAUUUUUGUUGAAUAAUUAUUUUAACAGCUAAUUGAUUCAUUAUUUGUAUUAUUAAUUAUAUUAUCAAUUAUGUUAUUAAUUAUAUUAUUUCUUUGAAAGUUUUGUAAUGAAUGUAAUUAGUUUUGAUUAUUCCGACACAAGUAACAUUGUAUUGCUUCUUUCAUCUUCAUAUUAUGUACUUAUGUUUACUAUGUACUGUGUCUGUGUUUUUCUACAUAAUUUAAAUAUAGAUGAACAUUUAUUAAGAUUGUAAAUUGUGUCAUGUGUAUAAAUAGUUUUAAUUAAGAUAAUAGUUAUAAUACUGCUGUAAUCAUCACAAUAAAUGAAUAGAUUCUAGUUUGGACAAAUAAUACUUGCUGGAAAAGAAUGGUCAAAUAUCAAAAUAAAAACUAAUGUAAUAUGAAUAAAUUAUGUUACUGAA